UUACGGCCAUAUCACAUUGAAAAACCGGUUCCCGUACGAUCACCGAAGUUAAGCAACAUUGAGCCUGGUCGCUAUCUAGAUGAAUGACCGCUUGGUAAUACCAGGUGCUGUAAG